ACGAACGCUGGCGGCGUGCUUAACACAUGCAAGUCACGGGGGCUUCGCAAGGAGCAACCGGCGAACGGGUGCGUAACACGUGAACAACCUGCCCUCGUGUGGGGGAUAGCCGGGCUAACGCCCGGGUAAUACCGCAUACGUUCUGUUCAGGGAGUCCUGAGGAGAGGAAAGCUCCGGCGCACGGGGAGGGGUUCGCGGCCUAUCAGCUUGUUGGCGGGGUAACGGCCCACCAAGGCGACGACGGGUAGCUGGUCUGAGAGGAUGGCCAGCCACAUUGGGACUGAGAGACGGCCCAGACUCCUACGGGAGGCAGCAGUGGGGAAUCUUGCGCAAUGGUCGAAAGACUGACGCAGCGACGCCGCGUGUGGGAGGACGCCUUUCGGGGUGUAAACCACUGUUGCCCGGGACGAACUUCUGGUUUCGACCAGACUGACGGUACCGGGUGAGGAAGCACCGGCUAACUCCGUGCCAGCAGCCGCGGUAAUACGGAGGGUGCGAGCGUUGUCCGGAAUUAUUGGGCGUAAAGCGCGCGCAGGCGGUCCUUUAAGUCUGAUGUGAAAGCCCACGGCUCAACCGUGGAGGGUCAUUGGAAACUGGGGGACUUGAGUGCAGAAGAGGAAAGCGGAAUUCCACGUGUAGCGGUGAAAUGCGUAGAGAUGUGGAGGAACACCAGUGGCGAAGGCAGGCCUCCUGGUCUGUAAUUGACGCUCGAGGCGCGAAAGCGUGGGGAGCAAACAGGAUUAGAUACCCUGGUAGUCCACGCCCUAAACGAUGUCAACUAGGUGUUGGAGGAGCAAUCCUUUGGUACCGCAGCUAACGCGUGAAGUUGACCGCCUGGGGAGUAUGGUCGCAAGAUUAAAACUCAAAGGAAUUGACGGGGACCCGCACAAGCGGUGGAUGAUGUGGAUUAAUUCGAUGCAACGCGAACAACCUUACCUACCCUUGACAUGUCCGGAAGCCUGCUGAGAGGCGGGUGUGCCCGAAAGGGAACUGGAACACAGGUGCUGCAUGGCUGUCGUCAGCUCGUGUCGUGAGAUGUUGGGUUAAGUCCCGCAACGAGCGCAACCCUUGUCCUUAGUUGCUACGCAAGGGCACUCUAAGGAGACUGCCGGUGACAAACCGGAGGAAGGUGGGGAUGACGUCAAGUCCUCAUGGCCCUUAUGGGUAGGGCUUCACACGUCAUACAAUGGUCGGUGACAGUGGGAAGCUAAGGGGCAACCCUUCGCAAAUCUCAAAAAGCCGUCUCAGUUCGGAUUGGGCUCUGCAACUCGAGCCCAUGGAGUUGGAAUCGCUAGUAAUCGUGGAUCAGCACGCCACGGUGAAUACGUUCCCGGGCCUUGUACACACCGCCCGUCACACCAUGGGAGUUGGCUUUACCUGAAGGCGGUGCGCUAACCAGCAAUGGAGGCAGCCGACCACGGUAGGGUCAGCGACUGGGGUG
rnacentral:rRNA from 1 species